rnacentral:rRNA from 1 species
AAAGAGGAGGUCUACACUGCAGUCGAGCGGAGAAGGGAGCUUGCUCCUGGAUUCAGCGGCGGACGGGUGAGUAAUGCCUAGGAAUCUGCCUGGUAGUGGGGGAUAACGUCCGGAAACGGGCGCUAAUACCGCAUACGUCCUGAGGGAGAAAGUGGGGGAUCUUCGGACCUCACGCUAUCAGAUGAGCCUAGGUCGGAUUAGCUAGUUGGUGGGGUAAAGGCCUACCAAGGCGACGAUCCGUAACUGGUCUGAGAGGAUGAUCAGUCACACUGGAACUGAGACACGGUCCAGACUCCUACGGGAGGCAGCAGUGGGGAAUAUUGGACAAUGGGCGAAAGCCUGAUCCAGCCAUGCCGCGUGUGUGAAGAAGGUCUUCGGAUUGUAAAGCACUUUAAGUUGGGAGGAAGGGCAGUAAGUUAAUACCUUGCUG